AAAUAAGAAACAAACUAUUGUAUUUAGUUUCGACCUAAACCCUUGGUGGCACCCACCCUUAUUUA
rnacentral:tRNA from 1 species